rnacentral:rRNA from 1 species
UGAGUGACCUGCCGAUUUGUGGGGGAUAGCCGGGCCAACGCCCGGGUAAUACCGCAUACGCUCUUCUUGGGGCAUCUCUAGAAGAGGAAACCUCCGGGGCAAAUCGAGGGACUCGCGGCCUAUCAGCUAGUUGGCGAGGUAACGGCUCACCAAGGCUACGACGGGUAGCUGGUCUGAGAGGAUGGCCAGCCACAUUGGGACUGAGAUACGGCCCAGACUCCUACGGGAGGCAGCAGG